rnacentral:rRNA from 1 species
AGGAUGAACGCUGGCGGUCUGCUUAACACAUGCAAGUCGAACGGAGUAGAAAUACUUAGUGGCGGACGGGUGAGUAACGCGUGAGAAUCUACCUUCAGGACGGAGACAACAGUUGGAAACGACUGCUAACCCCCGAUGUACUGAAAAGGCAAAUAUUUAUAGCCUGAAGAAGAGCUCGCGUCCGAUUAGCUAGUUGGAGAGGUAAAAGCUCACCAAGGCGACGAUCGGUAGCUGGUCUGAGAGGACGAUCAGCCACACUGGGACUGAGACACGGCCCAGACUCCUACGGGAGGCAGCAGUGGGAAUUUCCGCAAUGGGCGAAAGCCUGACGGAACAAGACCGCGUGGGGAAGAAGGCUCUUGGGUUGUAAACCCCUUUUCUCUGGGAAGAACGCAAUGACGGUACCAGAGGAAUCAGCAUCGGCUAACUCCGCGCCAGCAGCCGC